CACUCUCACGUUUAGGGUUAAAAAGUUACACACAUAAUCCCUUAAAAAGUUAAAAAUCUUCUCGACAGCCAUGACCCCAGCCGUCCAUGCCUUGCUCAAUCCCUUUCUUCGCAUGUGACAGAGUCCUUGCGACCAACCAGCCAUUCGACGGAGCCCUUUUCUUCGUAUCUUUCACCAUUCUCUCUGUUUCCCAUGAAAAGCUCCCACCUCCUCUUUCAGUUUCUUUUUCUUGGGUCCUGGCCAACUGAUUCUUCUUAUUCUACGGUGACAGAGCGGUGGGGAAGGGGAUGCAUUUUAGAGUUUGUAGCAAUGGCGGACUUGGUGGUUCGUAGUUGUGGCAGGGGUCAGAUCUCUCUCUCUUGAUGACGAUGAGCCCACCUUGGCUAACUCUCCUGGUUUCGACAAAGAUGAGUCCACCGCUGACGAUGAGGAAGAGCGAAAUAGAUAAUCAGGGAAGUUCUCUCUUCCAUGUUCCAUCGAAUAUUGCCAUCAAAUUAAAACUAAAGAGAAGGGAAAAUAGUCUACAUUUUACUCAUACAAAUGCCAUAUCAAUGGCUUUGCCACCAACCUCGAAGAGAAAGAGGCAGCUGAAAUUGAAAUUCUUCUGCUGCGGGAACCAACUUCACAGAGAGAACUUCUUCAGUGGACAUUGUGAAAGACCAACAUGGAAUUGAACAAGUUUUUCUCAAGAACUGUCGGAGAGCUUUUGCUCGAGUUAGGGAUUCAUUUAUUUUUAUUUGAGACAAAACUGAUUGAUCUUGCAUUGAAGAAAAUAUUUAAUGGUCUAAGGUUAUGCAUAAAAAUCAUGCCUUUGAAUAGUAAUUAUCUACUUCUUUUGAUCCGUUUAGAUUAGGGAUAUUAGAGAAGUCAUAUAUUUAUUUAUAUGAUCAACUUAGUUGAAUGACACUCGCCCAUCUAUAUGUAUAAGUUUUACCUAGGUCAUGCCUGAUUUUCCUAUGCAUAAGAGUCACAGUUUUAUUCUAUAUUUUAUUAAGAGAUUAAUUAUAACUUCUUCUAUUCAUUCUCUCUGUUUUUCAUCUGUCUCUAUGUUUGCUAAUAGCGUUUUAGAAAUAUUAUUGAAAUAUUUUUUUCUUGUAGUGUUAAAAUGUGAGUAAAGCUGUUAGUGUUUUCUUGAAAUUCUAAGGCAUGUGAUAUUUAUCCCGUAGAUCCAAAUGAAUUUUAUUAUUGGUGCAGCUUAUAUAAUUGGUUUUUGUAGCUGGUAUUGUUUUUUCUUUAGUAAUGACCUGGAAAACUCUUAUUCUCAUGGUUAAUAUUUAUAGAAGUUAUAAGAUUCACGUUUAUAUGUAACUCAAAAGGCUGGUUCAACCAUACUACAUUGAAAGAUGAUAAAAGAAACUAUGUCAUUUGAUAGGGAAACCAAAAUGUACUACUGAUUGUUUGGUGCUCUAUUUCAAUGCCUAAUCAUAAGUUCAUUCUUUGGCAAGCGGUUCUUCAAAAGUUGGCAACCAGGGAUCUGUUAAGCUACUGUCAUAUCCCUCUUCCCUCCUUGUUGUGCCCGAUCUGUGAUAUUCUGCCUGAAAAUCACUCUCAUUUAUUUUUUGAGUGUCUUUUCUAGGAGAGUAGUGCAGUCUGUUUUUGUUUGGUUGCAAGGGCUCUGUUGGCCUCCUAUCUUUUCAGAUUGGUGCAGUUGGCUGGAGGCAGACAGGAAGAACUUCAAAAACCGGAUCACUCUUGCAGCUCUAGCAGCUUCAGUUUAUGACAUAUGGUUUACUCGGAACAGAUGCCAUUUUGAUAGUAGUUGUCUUAUGGUUUCUACUGUAACCAGUUUAAUUAAAUCUUUUGUUUCAGCUAGAAUUCUUGGCUUAAAGCUUAGAGCUAAGUUUAGGACUUCUAGAGCAAUUCAAAUGACUCAGUUUUUGUCUAACUUGUCUUGACUGAGAGCUGUUGCUCUGGUUUUUGGCAGUAAUCUGUGUGUUUGAUCAAUAAAAUACCUUUUCUUGAUCAAAAAAAAAAAAAAAUGUACUACUGAUUAUUGUGCCAUUUUGUAAACUUGUCAUUGCAGAUCGGAUAUAGACAUGUUGAUUACGCUCAAAUUUAUGGAAUGAUCAGAUUCUUCUUUCGUGAAAUGCUCACUUUUGUCCACUGUAUUCUUUAAGAGUAAAAGAAGUCUCAAUCUGAAAGUUACAAAAUUGAGGCUCGGGAUUUAAGCAACAAGACUAAGACGUAUUCGUGUCAAAGGUGGAAGUCAUAUAUGAGUUAUUAUGAUUGUUCUUUAUUCAUUUUGAUGUUUUUUUGUUGUUUUUGGAUAAUUUGUUGUGUAAAUGAGUACGGUUCGUAUAUGUGAGAUUGAUUUUGGACAAUUAAUAAAGAUGUAUUUUUAGAGUUAUGAUAUUAAAUAAAAUUUUGGUUCUUAAAUUUAUAUUAUGGUUGGAA